rnacentral:lncRNA from 1 species
AACCUUAAAAAAUUAAAAAUAAAUUAUAUUCUUCCAAAGAAUAAUCAAACUCUUAUUCCCCCAAAUCAUUAAAUAAUCUCACAUAAACAUCAAUGCCCCUGUCACUGAAGUCAUUAAAUCAUCUCACAUGAACAACAUUAAAACACAUAAGUGUGUACCUAGCAAAUUCAAAAUCAAAACCCUUGGACAACUCUAUUCUCCGUAAUCAAUUUGUGAGGCUGCUAAAAAUUUGUGAAUUUCACUAGGCACUGUAGUUCUGCUCACAAAGUACCUUCUCAUCAAAUCUAUAAAAAAUUCAACAAAUACUAAUCAAUAUAUAUAAAUAUACAUGCUUAAUUUAAUACUAUAUUAUUUUAAAUUUAUAUAUUAAAUCCAUUAAUACUAUAUUAUUUAUAAAUUUAAGUAGUAAUAAUACUUUUCAUUUUAUUUUUUUCUCAAAAACCAAACAGAAAACGAAACAAACUUGAUCUCACGAUGCAAACCAGUUCAGUUCAGCCUCUAUUUAUCUCAUGAUUUCCCCUGGGUAGCAUAUUCUCUAUGCACUAAUAAAACAGAGUCA